UGUGUUCUGCUUUAUCCCAACCCCUCUGAAAGACACCCACACACACACUGAGGCUGAAGAGGUUGGAGCAGAUCGCCUCGUUGGAAAUGUGUGUUCUGCUUUAUCCCAACCCCUCUGAAAGACACCCACACACACACUGAGGCUGAAGAGGUUGGAGCAGAUCGCCUCGUUGGAAAUGUGUGUUCUGCUUUAUCCCAACCCCUCUGAAAGACACCCACACACACACUGAGGCUGAAGAGGUUGGAGCAGAUCGCCUCGUUGGAAAUGUGUGUUCUGCUUUAUCCCAACCCCUCUGAAAGACACCCACACACACACUGAGGCUGAAGAGGUUGGAGCAGAUCGCCUCGUUGGAAAUGUGUGUUCUGCUUUAUCCCAACCCCUCUGAAAGACACCCACACACACACUGAGGCUGAAGAGGUUGGAGCAGAUCGCCACGUUGGAAAUGUGUGUUCUGCUUUAUCCCAACCCCUCUGAAAGACACCCACACACACACUGAGGCUGAAGAGGUUGGAGCAGAUCGCCUCGUUGGAAAUGUGUGUUCUGCUUUAUCCCAACCCCUCUGAAAGACACCCACACACACACUGAGGCUGAAGAGGUUGGAGCAGAUCGCCUCGUUGGAAAUGUGUGUUCUGCUUUAUCCCAACCCCUCUGAAAGACACCCACACACACACUGAGGCUGAAGAGGUUGGAGCAGAUCGCCUCGUUGGAAAUGUGUGUUCUGCUUUAUCCCAACCCCUCUGAAAGACACCCACACACACACUGAGGCUGAAGAGGUUGGAGCAGAUCGCCUCGUUGGAAAUGUGUGUUCUGCUUUAUCCCAACCCCUCUGAAAGACACCCACACACACACUGAGGCUGAAGAGGUUGGAGCAGAUCGCCUCGUUGGAAAUGUGUGUUCUGCUUUAUCCCAACCCCUCUGAAAGACACCCACACACACACUGAGGCUGAAGAGGUUGGAGCAGAUCGCCUCGUUGGAAAUGUGUGUUCUGCUUUAUCCCAACCCCUCUGAAAGACACCCACACACACACUGAGGCUGAAGAGGUUGGAGCAGAUCGCCUCGUUGGAAAUGUGUGUUCUGCUUUAUCCCAACCCCUCUGAAAGACACCCACACACACACUGAGGCUGAAGAGGUUGGAGCAGAUCGCCUCGUUGGAAAUGUGUGUUCUGCUUUAUCCCAACCCCUCUGAAAGACACCCACACACACACUGAGGCUGAAGAGGUUGGAGCAGAUCGCCUCGUUGGAAAUGUGUGUUCUGCUUUAUCCCAACCCCUCUGAAAGACACCCACACACACACUGAGGCUGAAGAGGUUGGAGCAGAUCGCCUCGUUGGAAAUGUGUGUUCUGCUUUAUCCCAACCCCUCUGAAAGACACCCACACACACACUGAGGCUGAAGAGGUUGGAGCAGAUCGCCUCGUUGGAAAUGUGUGUUCUGCUUUAUCCCAACCCCUCUGAAAGACACCCACACACACACUGAGGCUGAAGAGGUUGGAGCAGAUCGCCUCGUUGGAAAUGUGUGUUCUGCUUUAUCCCAACCCCUCUGAAAGACACCCACACACACACUGAGGCUGAAGAGGUUGGAGCAGAUCGCCUCGUUGGAAAUGUGUGUUCUGCUUUAUCCCAACCCCUCUGAAAGACACCCACACACACACUGAGGCUGAAGAGGUUGGAGCAGAUCGCCUCGUUGGAAAUGUGUCAAAACUGUAUAAAGUUUGUAA